rnacentral:tRNA from 1 species
AUUUAAAUAGUUUAAGUAAAACGUUGAUUUGUGAAAUCAGAAAUAUUUUUAAUUUUAAAUU